GAUAAACGCUGGCGGCGCACAUAAGACAUGCAAGUCGAACGGACUUAACCGAAAGUUUACUUUUGGAGCGGUUAGUGGCGGACUGGUGAGUAACACGUAAGCAACCUGCCUAUCAGAGGGGAACAACAGUUAGAAAUGACUGCUAAUACCGCAUAUGCCUAAGUACCGCAUGGUACAAUAGGGAAAGAAGCAAUUCGCUGAUAGAUGGGCUUGCGUCUGAUUAGAUAGUUGGUGGGGUAACGGCCUACCAAGGCAACGAUGGGUAGGGGAACUGAGAGGUUUAUCCCCCACAUUGGUACUGAGACACGGACCAA
rnacentral:rRNA from 1 species